CCGGGGAGCAGGACGGUGAGCCUGUCGUUGUUCAGGGAGGCCAGGUCCUCUGGGCUGAGAAGGAUUAUGACGGGCUCCUCGGUGUUCUCCAGG
rnacentral:pre_miRNA from 1 species